CUACGUGCCAGCAGCCGCGGUAAUACGUAGGUGGCAAGCGUUGUCCGGAAUUAUUGGGCGUAAAGCGCGCGCAGGCGGAUUGGUCAGUCUGUCUUAAAAGUUCGGGGCUUAACCCCGUGAUGGGAUGGAAACUACCAAUCUAGAGUAUCGGAGAGGAAAGUGGAAUUCCUAGUGUAGCGGUGAAAUGCGUAGAUAUUAGGAAGAACACCAGUGGCGAAGGCGACUUUCUGGACGAAAACUGACGCUGAGGCGCGAAAGCCAGGGGAGCGAACGGGAUUAGAUACCCCGGUAGUCCUGGCCGUAAACGAUGGGUACUAGGUGUAGGAGGUAUCGACCCCUUCUGUGCCGGAGUUAACGCAAUAAGUACCCCGCCUGGGGAGUACGACCGCAAGGUUGAAACUCAAAGGAAUUGACGGGGGCCCGCACAAGCGGUGGAGUAUGUGGUUUAAUUCGACGCAACGCGAAGAACC
rnacentral:rRNA from 1 species